rnacentral:rRNA from 1 species
UACGUAGGGUGCGAGCGUUAAUCGGAAUUACUGGGCGUAAAGCGUGCGCAGGCGGUUUUGUAAGCCAGAUGUGAAAGCCCCGGGCUUAACCUGGGAAUGGCAUUUGGGACUGCAAGGCUUGAGUGCGGCAGAGGAGACUGGAAUUCCUGGUGUAGCAGUGAAAUGCGUAGAUAUCAGGAGGAACACCGAUGGCGAAGGCAGGUCUCUGGGCAUUAACUGACGCUGAGGAGCGAAAGCAUGGGGAGCGAACAGG